rnacentral:rRNA from 1 species
GACGAACGCUGGCGGCGUGCCUAAUACAUGCAAGUCGAGCGCAGGAAGUCAUCCGAUCCCUUCGGGGGGACGUUGACGGACUGAGCGGCGGCCGGUUGAGAAACACGUAAAGAACCUGCCCUCAGGUCUGGGAUAACCACGAGAAAUCGGGGCUUAUACCGGAUGGGUCAUCGGACCGCAUGGUCCGAGGAUGAAAGGCGCUCCGGCGUCGCCUGGGGAUGGCUUUGCGGUGCAUUAGCUAGUUGGUAGGGUAAUGGCCCACCAAGGCGACGAUGCAUAACCGACCUGAGGGGGGGAUCGGCCCCACGGGGACUGAGACAGGGCCCAGACUCCUCGGGGAGGCAGCAGUGGGGAAUCUUCGAAAAGGGAGGAAAGUCUGAUGGAGCAACGCCGCGGGAUGGAUAAGGGCCCUCGGGUCGUAAAGUCUUGUUGUAGGGAAAGAAAAAGUGCCGCAGGAAAGGGCGGGACCUGGAGGGUACCAAGCAAGAAGGCAACGCCUAAUUCGUG